GGGUUGUGAGGUUAAGCGACUAAGCGUACACGGUGGAUGCCCUGGCAGUCAGAGGCGAUGAAGGACGUGCUAAUCUGCGAAAAGCGUCGGUAAGGUGAUAUGAACCGUUAUAACCGGCGAUGUCCGAAUGGGGAAACCCAGUGCAAUUCGUUGCACUAUCGUUAACUGAAUACAUAGGUUAACGAGGCGAACCGGGGGAACUGAAACAUCUAAGUACCCCGAGGAAAAGAAAUCAACCGAGAUUCCCCCAGUAGCGGCGAGCGAACGGGGAGCAGCCCAGAGUCUGAAUCAGCUUGUGUGUUAGUGGAACGGUCUGGAAAGUCCGACGGUACAGGGUGAUAGUCCCGUACACCAAAAUGCACAGGCUGUGAACUCGAAGAGUAGGGCGGGACACGUGGUAUCCUGUCUGAAUAUGGGGGGACCAUCCUCCAAGGCUAAAUACUCCUGACUGACCGAUAGUAAACCAGUACCGUGAGGGAAAGGCGAAAAGAACCCCGGCGAGGGGAGUGAAAAAGAACCUGAAACCGUGUACGUACAAGCAGUGGGAGCACCUUCGGGUGUGACUGCGUACCUUUUGUAUAAUGGGUCAGCGACUUAUAUUCUGUAGCAAGGUUAACCGUAUAGGGGAGCCGCAGGGAAACCGAGUCUUAACUGGGCGUUAAGUUGCAGGGUAUAGACCCGAAACCCGGUGAUCUAGCCAUGGGCAGGUUGAAGGUUGGGUAACACUAACUGGAGGACCGAACCGACUAAUGUUGAAAAAUUAGCGGAUGACUUGUGGCUGGGGGUGAAAGGCCAAUCAAACCGGGAGAUAGCUGGUUCUCCCCGAAAGCUAUUUAGGUAGCGCCUCGUGAAUUCAUCUUCGGGGGUAGAGCACUGUUUCGGCUAGGGGGUCAUCCCGACUUACCAACCCGAUGCAAACUACGAAUACCGAAGAAUGUUAUCACGGGAGACACACGGCGGGUGCUAACGUCCGUCGUGAAGAGGGAAACAACCCAGACCGCCAGCUAAGGUCCCAAAGUCAUGGUUAAGUGGGAAACGAUGUGGGAAGGCACAGACAGCCAGGAUGUUGGCUUAGAAGCAGCCAUCAUUUAAAGAAAGCGUAAUAGCUCACUGGUCGAGUCGGCCUGCGCGGAAGAUGUAACGGGGCUAAACCAUGCACCGAAGCUGCGGCAGCGACACUAUGUGUUGUUGGGUAGGGGAGCGUUCUGUAAGCCUGCGAAGGUGACCUGUGAGGGUUGCUGGAGGUAUCAGAAGUGCGAAUGCUGACAUAAGUAACGAUAAAGCGGGUGAAAAGCCCGCUCGCCGGAAGACCAAGGGUUCCUGUCCAACGUUAAUCGGGGCAGGGUGAGUCGACCCCUAAGGCGAGGCCGAAAGGCGUAGUCGAUGGGAAACAGGUUAAUAUUCCUGUACUUGGUGUUACUGCGAAGGGGGGACGGAGAAGGCUAUGUUAGCCGGGCGACGGUUGUCCCGGUUUAAGCAUGUAGGCUGGUUGUCCAGGCAAAUCCGGAUAAUCAAGGCUGAGGUGUGAUGACGAGGCACUACGGUGCUGAAGUAACAAAUGCCCUGCUUCCAGGAAAAGCCUCUAAGCAUCAGGUAACAUUAAAUCGUACCCCAAACCGACACAGGUGGUCAGGUAGAGAAUACCAAGGCGCUUGAGAGAACUCGGGUGAAGGAACUAGGCAAAAUGGUGCCGUAACUUCGGGAGAAGGCACGCUGGUGUGUAGGUGAAGUCCCUGCGGAUGGAGCUGAGACCAGUCGAAGAUACCAGCUGGCUGCAACUGUUUAUUAAAAACACAGCACUGUGCAAACACGAAAGUGGACGUAUACGGUGUGACGCCUGCCCGGUGCCGGAAGGUUAAUUGAUGGGGUUAUCCGUAAGGAGAAGCUCUUGAUCGAAGCCCCGGUAAACGGCGGCCGUAACUAUAACGGUCCUAAGGUAGCGAAAUUCCUUGUCGGGUAAGUUCCGACCUGCACGAAUGGCGUAAUGAUGGCCAGGCUGUCUCCACCCGAGACUCAGUGAAAUUGAACUCGCUGUGAAGAUGCAGUGUACCCGCGGCAAGACGGAAAGACCCCGUGAACCUUUACUAUAGCUUGACACUGAACAUUGAGCCUUGAUGUGUAGGAUAGGUGGGAGGCUUUGAAGCGUGGACGCCAGUCUGCGUGGAGCCAACCUUGAAAUACCACCCUUUAAUGUUUGAUGUUCUAACGUUGGCCCCUGACCGGGGUUGCGGACAGUGUCUGGUGGGUAGUUUGACUGGGGCGGUCUCCUCCCAAAGCGUAACGGAGGAGCACGAAGGUUAGCUAAUCCUGGUCGGACAUCAGGAGGUUAGUGCAAUGGCAUAAGCUAGCUUGACUGCGAGCGUGACGGCGCGAGCAGGUGCGAAAGCAGGUCAUAGUGAUCCGGUGGUUCUGAAUGGAAGGGCCAUCGCUCAACGGAUAAAAGGUACUCCGGGGAUAACAGGCUGAUACCGCCCAAGAGUUCAUAUCGACGGCGGUGUUUGGCACCUCGAUGUCGGCUCAUCACAUCCUGGGGCUGAAGUAGGUCCCAAGGGUAUGGCUGUUCGCCAUUUAAAGUGGUACGCGAGCUGGGUUUAGAACGUCGUGAGACAGUUCGGUCCCUAUCUGCCGUGGGCGCUGGAGAAUUGAGGGGGGCUGCUCCUAGUACGAGAGGACCGGAGUGGACGCAUCACUGGUGUUCGGGUUGUCAUGCCAAUGGCACUGCCCGGUAGCUAAAUGCGGAAGAGAUAAGUGCUGAAAGCAUCUAAGCACGAAACUUGCCCCGAGAUGAGUUCUCCCUGAGACUUUAAGUCUCCUGAAGGAACGUUGAAGACGACGACGUUGAUAGGCCGGGUGUGUAAGCGCAGCGAUGCGUUGAGCUAACCGGUACUAAUGAACCGUGAGGCUUAACCUUACAACGCCGAAG
rnacentral:rRNA from 1 species